UCCUCACAACAGCCCUCUGGGAGGGCAAGUGGAAGAGUGAGUAGAUCAGCUGGAUAGGAGUGAGGAGUUGGAGGAAGGGUUGGGGUAUGGCCAGUGCAGUUAAGUGACUUGCCUUAGUGCACACCCCCAGAAAGUGACAGCACCAGCAUUUGAACCCUGACACAAGCAUCUCCAAAACUGCAUUCUUCCCACUGUGCCACAGUUAAGAUGAGUCCACCAGCCCUGUUUAGGCUGUGUUCUCCGGAAGCAGGUUCUGAUAUGAAGAUUCCUGUGAAAGACAUGCAUUAGGAAACGUUCCCAGGAUAAACCAGGAGAUGUGGGUCUUGGCCAAGAAACUGUUCCAUAUUUGCAUGUCUUGGCUUGGAAUCUGGCUCUUCUGCCAUCUGCCAUGAGAGGAAUGGAGUGGGUAACCACUGGUCCCAGGAGAAUGAGAUCCUUGAAACAGCCCAACCCACAGCCUGGAGCCCAGCCCAUG
rnacentral:lncRNA from 1 species